GCGGAGAGAAGCGAGUUUCCGGUGCGAAAUAUCUAAAUUUUUAAGGAGAAGAGCCACGAGUGACACGUAGAGGAGUCCCAGAGGCUUAGUGCUAUGUAAAGGAUUGAAGACAUAAAGACAAUGGUAGUGAGAUUAAGGGUAGAUAUUGCAAGACUUCUCUAGUCUAUUCAAAGGUAAUUCCUAUUCUUUUCAUUUUAUUUUUAUGUUAGCGAG